CUUCCAAUAUUAAUCCGCCGAGCGUAUAUUGAAAGUGUCGGUUAUCCGACUAUGGCGAUAAACGUCGUAUGGAAUAAGCGUCAUGGACCCGGGGGCAGUACCCGGCGCCUCCACCACUUAGCAGUUUCGCGCUGCGCGCGGUACCUUAUGGGGGCGAACUAGGUUCGACAUGCGUGGUAAAGGUGCGAUUUUUGCCCGGUAUGAUACCACCGUUAUCGGGUCAAAACAUAAUUGCCAACGAUAAUGAAUUGGCACUUGCUGCUUAGAACUUCUAGGUAAGCGCGGUCCGGGGGGCGCCGGGCAACAGAAGCCCCCCAC
rnacentral:tmRNA from 1 species